rnacentral:lncRNA from 1 species
CUGAAUAGUCUAAUAUUGUUCCGGUUUUGGUUCUUGUGAACGUUGACAUCGAUUCGUUCGAAAUUACAACUCUCGGGGCAUAAUUGAACAAUAUAAUUAGGUUUUACUCUUUGUUCGAUAGAAUGAGAAAAAGUACUCGUCGCAAAGUUAUACUGCUAGGGCGCAACUGAGUAGUCUAAUGUUGUUCCGAUUUUGGUUCUUGUGAACGUUGACAUCGAUUCGUUCCAAAUUUACACUCUCGGGGCACAAUUGAACAAUAUAAUUAGGUUUUACUCUUUGUUCGAUAAAAAGAGAAAAAGUACUCGUUGCAAAGUUAUACUGUUAGGGCGCAACAGAGUAGUCUAAUGUUGUUCCGGUUUUCGUUCUUGUGAACGGUGACAUCGAUUCGUUCCAAAUUUACACUCUCGGGNCUGGGAACUUGUUGUACACAAUCUCGUCGUUGUGCCUUGGGCGGACAGGGGAGGUACUGUCCGUACGGCGGUCCGCCGCCGUGCCCGAACCGAACCAAAUUGGUAUCGGCCUCGGGGCGGGGGCGUGACAGAAAAAUUACUAGUUGCAAAGUUAUACUGUUGGGGCGCAACAGAGUAGUCUAUUGUUGUUCCGGUUUUGGUUAUUGUUAAGGUUGACAUCGAUUCGUUUCAAAUUUACACUCUCGAGGCAUAAUAGAACAAUAUAAUUAGGUUUUACUCUUUGUUCGAUAGAAUGAGAAAAAGUACUCAUUGCAAAGUUAUACUGUUAGGGCGCAACCGAAUAGUCUAAUGUUGUUCCGGUUUUGGUUCUUGUGAACGCUGACAUCAAUUGGUUCGAAAUUACAACUCUCGGGGCAUAAUUGAACAAUAUAAAUUAGGUUUUACUCUUUGUUCGAUAGAAUGAGAAAAAGAACUCGUCGCAAAGUUAUACUGCUAGGGGGCAACUGAGUAGUCUAAUAUUGUUCCGGUUUUGGUUCUUGUGAACGUUGACAUCGAUUCGUUCCAAAUUUACACUCUCGGGGCAUAAUAGAACAAUACAAUUAAGUUUUACUCUUUGUUCGAUCGAAUGAGAAAAAGUACUCGUUGCAAAUUUAUAAUAUUAGGGCGCAGCUGAGUAGUCUAAUGUUGUUCCGGUUUUGGUUCUUGUGAAGGUUGACAUCGAUUCGUUCCAAAUUUACACUCUUGGGGCAUAAUAGAACAAUAUAAUUAGCUUUUACACUUUGUUCGAUCGAAUGGGAAAAAAGUACUCGUUACAAAGUUAUACUGUUAGGGCGCAACUGAGUAGUCUAUUGUUAUUCCAGUUUUGGUUCUUGUGAAGGUUGACAUCGAUUCGUUCCAAAUUUACACUCUCGGGGCAUAAUAGAACAAUAAAAUUAGCUUUUACACUUUGUUCGAUUGAAUAAGAAAAAGUACUAGUUGCAAAGUUAUAUUGUUGGGGUGCAACAGAGUAGUCUAUUGUUUUUCCGAUUUUGGUUCUGGUGAAGGUUGAUAUCGAUUCGUUCCAAAUUUACACUCUCGGGGCAUAAUGAAUAAAAUAAAUAGCUUUUACACUUUGUUCGAUUGAAUGAGAAAAAGUACUAGUUGCAAAGUUAUACUGUUGGGGCGCAACAGAGUAGUUUACUGUUGUUCCGAUUUUGGUUCUUGUUAAGGUUGACAUCGAUUCAUUCCAAAUUUACACUCUCGGGGCAUAAUAGAACAAUACAAUUAAGUUUUACUCUUUGUUCGAUCGAAUGAGAAAAAGUACUCGUUGCAAAAUUAUGCUGUUAGGGCGCAACUGAGUAGUCUAGUGUUGUUCCGAUUUUGGUUCUUGUGAAGAUUGACAUCGAUUCGUUCCAAAUUUACACUCUCGGGGCAUAAUAGAACAAUAUAAUUAGCUUUUACACUUUGUUCGAUUGAAUGAGAAAAAGUACUAGUUGCAAAGUUAUACUGUUGGGGCGCAACAGAGUAGUCUAUUGUUGUUCCGGUUUUGGUUCUUGUUAAGGUUGACAUCGAUUCGUUCCAAAUUUACACUCUCGGGGCAUAAUAGAACAAUAUAAUUAGGUUUUACUCUUUGUUCGAUCGAAUGAGAAAAAGUACUCGUUGCAAAGUUAUACUGUUAGGGCGCAACUGAGUAGUCUAAUGUUGUUCCGGUUUUGGUUCUUGUGAACGUUGACAUCGAUUCGUUCGAAUUUACACUCUCGCGGCAUAAUAGAACAAUAUAAUUAGGUUUUACACUUUGUUCGAUAGAAUGAGAAAAAGUACUCGUUGCAAAGUUAUACUGUUAGGGCGCAACUGAGUAGUCUAAUGUUGUUCCGGUUUUGGUUCUUGUGAACGUUGACAUCGAUUCGUUCCAAAUUUACACUCUCGGGGCAUAAUAGAACAAUAUAAUUAGGUUUUACGCUUUGUUCGAUUGAAUGAGAAAAAGUACUCGUUGCAAAGUUAUACUGUUAGGGCGCAACUGAGUAGUCUAAUGUUGUUCCGGUUUUGGUUCUUGUGAACGUUGACAUCGAUUCGUUCCAAAUUUACACUCUCGGGGCAUAAUAGAACAAUAUAAUUAGNNNNNNNNNNNNNNNNNNNNNNNNNAGAUCGAUUCGUUCCAAAUUUACACUCUCGGGGCAUAAUAGGAAGUUUUUACUUCUUGUUCGAUAGAAUAAGAAAAAGUACUCAUCGCAAAGUUAUACUGUUAUGGCGCAACUGAGUAGUCUAAUGUUGUUCCGGUUUUGGUUCUUGUCAACGUUGACAUCGAUUCGUUCUAAAUUUACACUCUCGACGCUUGAACAAUAUAAUUAGGUUUUACUCUUUAUUCGAUUGAAUGAGAAAAAGGACUAGUUGCAAUGUUAUACUGUUAGGGCUCAACUGAGUAGUCUAACGUUCUUCCGGUUUUGGUUCUUGUGAACGCUGACAUUGAUUCGUUCCGAAUUUACACCCUUGGGGCAUAAAAGAAAGCUUUUACUCCUUGUUCGAUGAUUGAGAAAAAGUACUCAUUGCAAAGUUAUACUGUUAUGGCGCAAUAGAGUAGUCUAAUGUUGUUCCGGUUUUGGUUCUUGUGAACAUUGACGUCAAUUAGUUCCAAAUUUACACUCUCGGGGCAUAAUAGAACAAUAUUAUUAUGUUUUACGCUUUAUUCGAUUGAACGAGAAAAAGUACUCGUCGCAAAGUUAUUCUAUUAGGCGCAACUGAGUAGUCUAAUGUAGUUCCGGUUAUGGUACUUGUGAACGUUGACAUCGAUUCGUUCCAAAUUUACACUCUCGGGGCAUAAUAGAAAGCUUUUACUCCUUGUUCAAUAGAAUUAGAAAAAGUACUCGUUGCAAAGUUAAACUGUUAAGGCACACAGAGUAGUCUAUUGUUGUUCCGAUUUUGGUUCUUGUCAACGUUGACAUCGAUUCGUUCCAAAUUUACACUCUUGGGGUAUAAUAGAACAAUAUAAUUAGGUUUUACUCUUUAGUCGAUUGAAUGAGAAAAAGUACUAGUUGCAAUGUAAUACUAUCAGGGCUCAACUGAGUAGUCUAACGUUGUUUCUGUUUUGGUUCUUGUGAACGUUGACAUCGAUUCGUUCAAAAUUUACACUCUCGGGGAAUAAUAAAAAGCUUUUACUCCUUACUCGAAACAAUGAGAAAAAGUACACGUUGCAAAGUUAUGCUAUUAUGGCGCAACAGAGUAGCCUAAUGUAGUUCCGGUUUUGGUUCUUGUCAACGUUGACAUCGAUUCGUUCCAAAUAUACACUCUCGGGGCAUAAUAGAACAAUAUCGUUUGGUUUUACUCUUUAUUCGAUUGAAUGAGAGAAAGUACUCGUUGCAAAGUUAUACUGUUAUGGCAAAACUGAGUAGUCAAAUUUAGUUCCUGUUUUGGUUCUUGUGAACUUUGACUUCGAUUCGUUCCAAAUUUAUACUCUCGAGGCAUAAUAGAACAAUAUUAUUAGUUUUGCUAUUUGUUCGAUUGAAUGAGAACAAGUUCUAGUUGCAAAGUUAUACUGUCAAGGCUCAACUGAGUAGUCAAACGUUGUUCCGGUUUUGGUUUUUGUGAACGUCAACAUCGUUACGUUGCAAAUUUACACUCUCGGGGCAUAAUAGAAAGCUUUUACACCUUGUUCGAUAGAAAGAGAAAAAGUACUCGUUGCAAAAUUAUAUUGUUAUGGCGCAACAGAGUAGUCUAAUGUUAUUUCAGGUUUGGUUCUUGUGAACAUUGACAUCGAUUCAUACCAAAUUUACACUCUCGGUGCAUAAUAGAACAACAUAAGUAGGUUUUGCUCUUUGUUCGAUUGAAUGAGAAAAAGUACUAGUUGCAAUCUUAUACUGUUAGGGCUCAACUGAGUUGUCUAACGUUGUUUCGGUUUUGGUUCUCGUGAACGUUGACAUCGAUUCNNNNNNNNNNNNNNNNNNNNNNNNNAUACUGUUAUGGCGCAACUGAGUAGUCUAAUGUUGUUCCAGUUUUGGUUCUUGUGAACGUUGACAUCGAUUCGUUCCAAAUUAAAACUCUCCGGUAAUAAUAGAACAAUAUAAUUAGGUUUUGCUCUUUGUUCGAUUGAAUGAGAAAAAAUACUAGUUGCAAAGUUAUACUGUUAGGGCUCAACUGAGUAGUCUAACGUUGUUCCGGUUUUAGUUCGUGCGAACGUUGACAUUGAUUCGCUCCAAAUUUACACUCUCGGGGCAUAAUAGAUAGCUUUUACUCCUUAUUCGAUAGAAUUAGAAAAAGUACUCGUUGCAAAGUUAAACUGUUAAGGCGCAACUGAGUAGUCUAGCGUUGUUCCAGUUUUGGUUCUUGUGAACGUUGACAUCGAUUCGUUCCAAAUUUACACUCUCGGGGUAUAAUAGAACAAUAUAAUUAGGUUUUACUCUUUGUUCAAUUGAAUAAGAAAAAGUACUGGUUGCAAUGUCAUACUGUUAGGGCUCAACUGAGUAGUCUAACGUUCUUCCGAUUUUGGUUCUCGUGAACGUUG